rnacentral:rRNA from 1 species
AUUGAACGCUGGCGGCAGGCCUAACACAUGCAAGUCGAACGAGUGGCGGAGGGGUGAGUAAUGUCUGGGAACCUGCCUGAUGGAGGGGGAUAACGACUGGAAACGGUAGCUAAUACCGCAUACCAUCAGAUGUGCCCAGAUGGGAGUAGCUUGUUGGUGGGGUAACGGCUCACCAAGGCGACGAUCCCUAGCUGGUCUGAGAGGAUGACCAGCCACACUGGAACUGAGACACGGUCCAGACUCCUACGGGAGGCAGCAGUGGGGAAUCUUGCGCAAUGGUCGCAAGGCUGAUGCAGCCACGCCGCGUGUAUGAAGAAGGCCUUCGGGUUGUAAAGUACUUUCAGCUGAGAGGCGGUACCCGCAGAAGAAGCACCGGCUAACUCCGUGCCAGCAGCCGCGGUAAUUC